CACCUUUCAGACUUGCUACAGAUUGACUUUAUUGUCCUCAGUAGCCUACUUCAUAUCCACGUCUCAUCUCCAUCAUACCCAAGAGGGGUGGUUAUAACAUAAUCACAGCAGAAACUGUGGGACUUGUUAUCUACAGAGCUCUUUGCAAAUAUAAGCUGCCUCAAAAAAUAUGAAUUCUUGUGUAUCUCCUUCAAAAUAAAAUAGCAUAACCUGGUAAUUUCCCACAGUUUCUCAAGAGAAAGGAAUUCUAAGGAAUGUCCUGAGUGACUCAAUUUGGAGGCUUUGCACAGAAUCUGUGAUCCCAGAUAAGCAAGAUUAGCCAGAUUCAUGAGUUACUGCAAGUCACUCAACCAUUCCAGUGCUUUGGCCCCUCACAAGGAUACUAGCUAUCUGUUAACAAUCACAAAUAUUCUGGUUCUUUCAGAACCUUGAGUAAGCAGCAGUAACUCCUGCAAGUGUUUGAACCUUGAUGCCAGCGUUCUCAUGCCACACUGUGUUAGACAUCUAGAUAACUGUGCUGAUCAUGUAUUUCCUCUUGCCUAGGCCUUUCAGGAAUGAACAAGCAUUCCCUUGUAUACUGCUAUGAUUCCCAUGACUCGAUGGUCACACUUAAUUAACCACUAGAUUGUUUGAGAGCUGGUUACAUUUCAUUUCAUUAAGUGAUUUCAUGAUCACCAGAGGUACACUGACAGCCUUGUUAACUGAAGCUAUGUGAAAAGAUCCAGCGGAGACAACAGUAACAUUCUGCAGCAUUUCCUCAUUUGUGAUUUUCCAGGCGCUGCUCAGAGUACAGUUGGUUACAUUUCCAUUCCUGUUUAGUUUUUUGGCACAAGGCUAUCUCAGUCUUGAGGUCGACCACAGUGAGAUGGCGCAGCCCCAGGGUGCGAAAGAUGAUAUACGUGCGCUGCAGUGAGAAGUGGGCUUGGACUGACAUGGCCGAUUUGUUUAUGUAUGGCUCCUGUAAGACAAAGAGGGGAGACAUGAGGAGAAUACAAAAAUAGUUGGCUUCAGCCUUACCAGAUUGAUGAAGAGUUGCUGAUACCGGGGAUCUGUAGUGUAGCGAUUCAGCAGCAUGGCCAGGCGCGACGGCUUGGGCAGCUUCUCCACUGUUAUCUGGAACAGGCAAGAAUCCAUUUCUCUUUCUUUCUGCACUGCACAUUAGAACCCACAGUUCAAAAGCCUUCCAGUUUGUCUCUAAGAAAAAGUUUUCUAGGAGAGCUACUCUGGCAGAGCUUGUCCUUUUUAAAUUCUUCUGCCAAUCAAGCUUAAACUAGCACUCA
ensembl:lncRNA